rnacentral:lncRNA from 1 species
GCAUCAGUUGCCAGGAUCUGGAUGUUCUAGAACUACUCUAUCCCUGCCUGAUCUUUAAGUGAGGGGACAUAUGGCCUGGGGGCUCUGACUGAAGAAAGGAAUGCAGCACUCAUGAUCCUGUUGAAUAGAGAUGACUUCACAUCUAUCCUUGGAGGUUGGAUUCCUUUAUAGUCACGUAUUUCUGGAUCCACCAACUAGGCCUGUCUGCAGCAGCAAUGGAGGUCACAAGUUGUCCUGUGGUUUCUCACACAGGUAAUGACUAAGUCUGUCCUCUCUCUUAUCAACACAUUCAACCACCCUCUUCAUAUCUGUCCAAAAGAGGUAACGAAGGAGAGCAAGUAAAACAUUCAAUAGUGGAGACCAGAGAGAGAGAGAAAGGUUAACAGGAAGAGGGAAGGAAAGGAAUACAGAGAGGAACAGACAAAACAAACCAGGAUCUCAGAAUGAGCUGAAGAUCAGUGUCCCAAGUGUGACAGGGUAAACUCCCAAGAAGGUCCAUUGAGAGCCUCAAACCAUGUGUGU